GUGGGGAAUCUUCCGCAAUGGACGAAAGUCUGACGGAGCAACGCCGCGUGAACGAUGACGGCCUUCGGGUUGUAAAGUUCUGUUAUACGGGACGAAUGGUACGACGGCCAAUACCCGUCGUAAGUGACGGUACCGUAAGAGAAAGCCACGGCUAACUACGUGCCAGCAGCCGCGGGAAUACGUAGGUGGCAAGCGUUGUCCGGAAUUAUUGGGCGUAAAGGGCGCGCAGGCGGCGUCGUAAGUCGGUCUUAAAAGUGCGGGGCUUAACCCCGUGAGGGGACCGAAACUGCGAUGCUAGAGUAUCGGAGAGGAAAGCGGAAUUCCUAGUGUAGCGGUGAAAUGCGUAGAUAUUAGGAGGAACACCAGUGGCGAAAGCGGCUUUCUGGACGACAACUGACGCUGAGGCGCGAAAGCCAGGGGAGCAAACGGGAUUAGAAACCCGGGUAGUCC
rnacentral:rRNA from 1 species